GCCCCAUGGGGCAGUGGGGGGCAGCGGGGGCAGCUCGAGGGGCUCAGGGGCAGAGUGAGCAGGAGGGAGGCUGCAGGGAAGGUCAGGAGCCUAGACGGCCCGUCACCUGCUGCCAAGGACUGUCCCUCUCCUGGCUCGGGGGUCACAGACCACGUCUCUUCCUGCCUGUGGGGUCAGCAAGCAGGAUGGGGACCGUGGAGGGGGGCCAGCCUCCUGUCACUGUGGCCCGACCUCUUGGGCUGGACUCUCCUUGUGUACGGACACUGACCUGCUGCUCCUGGAGGGUGUCCUGGACCCCCACCUUCCUUGCCGUGCCCGCAGCCUGGCCCACUUCCUAUCUCAGGGCUUCCACUCUCCCCGGGGUGUCCCCGCUGUGAGGGGUCCUCUCCUGUCUCUACCCGCACUGCCCUUUCUCCGGGAAGGCCAGAUGCAGCCUUGCCUCCUACAGGCAGUAUUCCAGGACUGCCCCAAUUGUUGCCUUCUCUCCUUCCUUCUCUUCUAGGACACCUGCUCAGGCCCGGCUGACCGCACGCUUCCCGUGGGGACCCGGCUGGGCUCUCCAUUUCAGGGGUGCUGCAGUGGGCUGAAUAGCAUACCCCCAAAUUCAUGUCACCUGGAACCUCAGAAGAUGGUUUUAGUUGGAAAUAGGUCUUUGCAGAUGCAAUUAGUUAAGAGUGGAAUGGGUCCUGAUUCAAUGACUGGGUCUUUAAAGAAAAGACCCACAGACAGGACACAUGGGGAGCGGGCCACAUGGCAAUGGAGGCAGAGAGGGGAGGGACACCAAGGAUGGGCCACAACAGGGGCUGAGAGAGGCUGGGAGCAGAGAGAGCGUGUGCAAGCAGGGGAGAGGCAGAAAAUCACAAGGAGGCACCACGUUCACCUCGGAGCCGACGCGGGGCUCAACCCCACAACCCUGGGAUCAUGACCUCAGCUGAAACCAAGAGUCAGAGGCUCUGGACUCCUGGGUGACUCCGCUGAGGAACAGACUCUUGAUUUCCGCUCAGGUUAUGAUCUCGUGGUUCAUGAGAUCGAGCCCCAUUCGAGCUCAGCUCUGCUGAGUGUGGAGCCUGCUUAGGAUUCUCUCUCUCCCUUUCUGUCUGCCUCUCCCCUGCUUGUGUGCUCUCUCUCUUUCUCUCAAAAUAAAUAAAUAAAUAAA